rnacentral:lncRNA from 1 species
UCAUUAACUUAAUUCAUCAUUCCUCUUGCUAAAAUAUAUAUAGCACUUUACUAAGUAUAUAUAUUUCUAUACAUAUACUCAUCUUCGUUUAACCUCAUAGCAUCUCUUCAUGUGAAAUCUUAUUUCCAAUAAUAAAAUUUCCAUAUGUACUUAUAUAACAUUUCUUAGACUAUUCAGUUCACAUCGAACUUACAGGUAUCGUAAUACCUUAUUCUUGAUAUUCCUCCAAGUACAUAUUAAUUCAUUUCUAGGGUUUAGGAAUUUUGUAAUCCCAUAUUUUCUCUAUUCUCAUUCGAAUAGCAAACCAUAUAGGUUUUACUUGAAAAUUUUAAAUAAAUCCUCAAAUUCUCAUCUAGGUUUUAUUCUUUAACCUUUAUUCUAAUCAUUUAAGAUUUUAGAAAUUUUCGGGUUAUCA